CAGCAGCCGCGGUAAUACGAAGGGGGCUAGCGUUGCUCGGAAUCACUGGGCGUAAAGGGUGCGUAGGCGGGUCUUUAAGUCAGAGGUGAAAGCCUGGAGCUCAACUCCAGAACUGCCUUUGAUACUGGAGAUCUCGAGUUCGGGAGAGGUGAGUGGAACUGCGAGUGUAGAGGUGAAAUUCGUAGAUAUUCGCAAGAACACCAGUGGCGAAGGCGGCUCACUGGCCCGAUACUGACGCUGAGGCACGAAAGCGUGGGGAGCAAACAGGAUUAGAUACCCCGGUAGUCCCUGUCUCUUAUAC
rnacentral:rRNA from 1 species